UGCAACUGCUGCAGCAUACUCUGCGUCCUCAGCUGGCUCUUUGUUACUCAUUUGGCGUGAGAACUGUCUCCUGAGCCACUUUUGAGUUUCGCAAUCAGUCUGUUCCAUGUACAUGAGGUCAUUAUUAGGAUCAUGCCCAAUAUUGUAAUUUACAAGCUGCUCAAAUCCAAGGACAGAUAAAGUUGACAUUGUUCUAAUCAUUUGCAAGCACUCUAUGUCAGCUUUUGGGAUUUUCUGCCAUACUCGAAAUUCCUCGAAUUCUAAGGGCCAAGGAAUUGCUCUAUCUUCUUCUUCAAUGCAUCAAAAGCUUCUGUUGUUAGGAUAGUUAGGGCGGUAGUAGAGUCUGCGAUGAAGCCUCUUGUCCCGUUAUUGUUCAUCUCAAACACUACUGGUCUUACAUCGAUGUCUUCUCUGUUCACUUGGACAGAGACCACAUCGAGGUAGUAGAAACUGGUGUGAAGGUUCUUUACCAUGUCAAGGGUAUCACCCCUGAGUUCUGCUGCUGGACCAAACUUGAUUAGGCUUGUUUUGGACAGGUCAUCGGAUAUACAAUAUGAGAACUUGGGAUCGUCCGGAUAUAGUUGCCUUGGGAGUGAUAAGCCACUAUUAGAUGCACCUGUUAAUAAGAAAAUAAAAAAAAUAAAAAAUAAAUAUGUUAUAAUUGAAAUUUGUUUGCUUAAUAUUGGAGAAAUGAAUCACUUUUUUCCUCUGUUGUAUACUUGUAUGUAUAUAGGCUAUAGCGUUGUCAAAUCAAUGACAAUUACGGAUCUAAGAUUUUACGGAUAGUGGCUCACUACUACUCCGUAAGUAACAAUGCAUUGGUAAGAAAAUAUCAAUCUCGAGAGUCAUUUCAGGUAGAGUCGUCUAUUUGAUGAUCCAAUCCGUUUUUAAUUAAAGGGAAAUUCUCAUUGGUAGCAAUGUAAAAUUGCACACUCUCAAUAGUAACAAAAUUUUUUACAAAUUCUCAAAAAUAGCAUUACUUUUGAUAAAUUUCUUUAACAUGACAAUAUUUUUCUAAUUAACAAAUAUUUAGCAAAUUGAUCAUCAUCAUCAACCCGCCCACCCCAUGGAACCCCCACCCUGUCGAACCCCCAUCUAGCACCACCACCUGCACGGUCUCCCUGUCUCACCGACCCCAUGACAACCCAAACGAAACCCCAACCCAAUCAAACCCCUAGCCAAUCGAACCCCCACCCAGUCGAAACGCCACAAUCGAAUCCCCGCCCAACUCUAUGGUGGUCAAAUCGAAUUUGUCGGUGGCUAUGGUGGUUGAAAUUGGGUAAGCCCAAAUUGGGUUCGGUUUGGGGUUAACAGCUGAUGGUGGUUCGAUGGGGUAUGGUGGAGAUGGUGGUCGAAGGAUCGAUGGGGUGUCGCGGAGAUGAUUGAAGGUUAAUGAAUGAUGGUGGUUCGAUGGUUAUGGUGGUAUGAUGGUUGUGAUCUUUGGUGGCAAUGUCGCGUUUAAGUUUUUACUUGUUCGAUCGCUCAAACUCAAGUGCAAUUAUCAAAAAUUCAUCACCUCAAUCAUCUCAAUAUGCAAAAAAGGCCUAAUUUCUACAGUUACAAGGUAAUUCCUUCUUCCUAAAUUUUAAACAAAAAACAAACUUUCUGCAUUAGAUUGCCAUGGAUGCCCUGUUUUACGUAUGAACUAAUGUUGAUGAAGUAUGAUUAUUGUAGGUAUCAAUCAAUAAAUUAAGUGAGGGUAAUUUAGUAAAUUAUUAUUACAUAACCAUGGUUAUUGUAUUUUAGGCUAAUAUAUCACAUUUAAUAAAAUAAAGCUAUACAAGGAAAUAAUUGUAAAACUAAUGCUAUUUAAGAGAAUUUACAAACUUUUAUUGCUACCAAUGAGAAAAACC